rnacentral:rRNA from 1 species
GACGAACGCUGGCGGCGUGCUUAACACAUGCAAGUCGAACGAAGUGGCGAACGGGUGAGUAACGCGUAAUCAACCUGCCCUUCAGCGGGGGACAACAGUUGGAAACGACUGCUAAUACCGCAUACUGAAGGAGGGGAUUGCGUCGGAUUGGCUAGUUGGAGGGGUAACAGCCCACCAAGGCGAUGUUUAGUAGCCGGUCUGGGAGGAGGACCGGCCACAUUGGGACUGGAACACGGCCCAGACUCCGACGGGGGGCAGCAGUGGGGAAUCUUCCGCAAUGGAAGGAAGGCUGACGGAGCAACGCCGCGGGAGUGAUGACGGCCUUCGGGUUGUAAAGCUCUUUUAAUCGGGACGCGGUACCGGAAUAGAAAGCCACGGCUAACUACGUGCCAGCAGCCGCGGUAAUAC